GGAGAGAUGGCCGAGUGGCCGAAGGCGCUCGCCUGCUAAGCGAGUGUAGGUCAAAAGCCUACCGUGGGUUCAAAUCCCACUCUCUCCGCCA
rnacentral:tRNA from 1 species